CUGCUCAAGUCCAAACUUCUAUCCUUUCUUUAUCUGUUGAGCAGGAUCUGAUCUUAUUCUCUAAGAGUUGCAUCCGGUCUCAGCUCCAGCAGGAAGGCUCCAUCAUAGAUUUAGCCAGGGACUCUAUAUGCUCACUAUGACUCAGGUGACAGAGUGCUUUAGUGAUCAGUGCUCAGCCUGGCCAAGAGUUUAGCCUAUAAGAAUGUAAGCUUACCAGCCAUACUGCCCUGGCCGGCCCUGUAACUAAUCUCUCUGUGUCUUAGAAAGGACUCAGUAAAUGUUGGCUGUGGCUUCCACUGUCUCCAGCAGUUUGUUUCCUCCUUAUAAAUGUUCAUCUCAUUCCAUCCCAGGAAUCUCUGGGAAGAGUUCCGGCUGUGUCUGGUCUUCACUAUUCACGUUCUUUAGAGUCUGAUAAAGAAGGCUCUGAGUGAGGAAGGCCCUGGAAUUACUCCUGUCUUUUCCUUGCAACCAGCAACCGCAUUCUUAGCUAAGUUUCCUGAGGGUGGGGCAGGAGAACAGGGGACUCAUUCUUCUUGUUAUUUGUCUUCUCUGUCCCUUGUGAGUUUCUCCAGAUCCUCUGUUCCUCUUUUAUGAAACUAACCUUGGUGACUCCACAUGUUUAUGUAACCUGAAAUGUCAUCCAUCCCUUUGCCGUACGGCUAUGUCCUAUGGAUUGGAACAUAUCCCAUGAAGGAAGAGAAGGGCUCUCAUAUUCCAGAAGUACCUGACUUUGUUUUCUACUGCUGUGAAGAGUGCUGUGACAGCAGCUUGAACAUAACUCACCAAAGAACUUCUCGGACACGCUGGCGGCAAGAACUCCCUCGGAUUGGCAGAGCUUUGUGGUGUCCUCCAGAUCAGACUGCCCUUGUUGAUUCGUGAGUGGUGGCUGCCGAAUGGACUGGACUACAGCUGCUCAUCCAUGUUUGGUGUUUGCUAGAGGACUGGACUGCUGAUAACCAAGAUUGGAAUCUCCAUAAAGAACUAUUUCUGAACAGGUUCACAACCCCUGUUUCCUAUUAGCCUUUCUUUCCCACUAUCACUGGUGGGUAAUAGGCUAGAAGGGAGUUUGAAGUGCUUAAGAACCCUUAUUAAAGUAAGUUUUGAAAAAAUC